rnacentral:rRNA from 1 species
CUCAUAGCGUAUAUUUAAGUUGUUGCAGUUAAAAAGCUCGUAGUCGGAUUUUGGCUGAGAACGGUCGGUCCGCCGUUAGGUGUGCACUGACUGGUCUCAGCUUCCUGGUGAGGAGGUGUGCUUCAUCGCCACUUAGUCACCGUGGUUACUUUGAAAAAAUUAGAGUGUUCAAAGCGGGCUUACGCUUGAAUAUAUUAGCAUGGAAUAACACCAUAGGACUCCUGUCCUAUUUCGUUGGUCUCGGGACGGGAGUAAUGAUUAAGAGGAACAGUUGGGGGCAUUCGUAUUUCAUUGUCAGAGGUGAAAUUCUUGGAUUUAUGAAAGACGAACUUCUGCGAAAGCAUUUGCCAAGGAUGUUUUCAUUGAUCAAGAACGAAAGUUGGGGGCUCGAAGAUGAUUAGAUACCAUCCUAGUCUCAACCAUAAACGAUGCCGACUAGGGAUUGGCGGAUGUUAAUUGAUGACUUCGCCAGCACCUUAUGAGAAAUCAAAGUUUUUGGGUUCCGGGGGGAGUAUGGUCGCA